UGGCUCAGUUGGUAGAGCACAUGACUCUUGAUCUUGGGUUCGUGAGUUUGAGCCUCAC
rnacentral:tRNA from 1 species